CAGUCGCCGCGGGAAUACGAAGGGGGCUAGUGUUGUUCGGAUUUACUGGGCGUAAAGCGCACGUAGGCGGAUCGAUCAGUCAGGGGUGAAAUCCCAGAGCUCAACUCUGGAACUGCCUUUGAUACUGUCGAUCUGGAGUAUGGAAGAGGUGAGUGGAAUUUCCGGUGUAGCGGUGAAAUGCGUAGAUAUCGGAAGGAACACCUGUGGCGAAAGCGGCUCACUGGACCAUUUCUGACGCUGAUGCACGAAAGCUAGGGGAGCAAACAGGAUUAGAUACCCCCGUAGUCCCUGUCUCUUAUAC
rnacentral:rRNA from 1 species